AUUGAACGCUGGCGGCAGGCCUAACACAUGCAAGUCGAGCGGAUGAAGGGAGCUUGCUCCUGGAUUCAGCGGCGGACGGGUGAGUAAUGCCUAGGAAUCUGCCUGGUCGUGGGGGAUAACGUCCGGAAACGGGCGCUAAUACCGCAUCCGUCCUGAGGGAGAAAGUGGGGGAUCUUCGGACCUCACGCUAUCAGAUGAGCCUAGGUCGGAUUAGCUAGUUGGUGGGGUAAAGGCCUACCAAGGCGACGAUCCGUAACUGGUCUGAGAGGAUGAUCAGUCACACUGGAACUGAGACACGGUCCAGACUCCUACGGGAGGCAGCAGUGGGGAAUAUUGGACAAUGGGCGAAAGCCUGAUGCAGCCAUGCCGCGUGUGUGAAGAAGGUCUUCGGAUUGUAAAGCACUUUAAGUUGGGAGGAAGGGCAGUAAGUUAAUACCUUGCUGUUUUGACGGUACCAACAGAAUAAGCACCGGCUAACUUCGUG
rnacentral:rRNA from 1 species